rnacentral:rRNA from 1 species
CCUACGGGUGGCAGCAGUGAGGAAUAUUGGUCAAUGGCCGGAAGGCUGAACCAGCCAAGCCGCGUGAAGGACGAAGGUGCCAAGCAUCGUAAACCUCUUUUGUCAGGGGACAAAAACUGGGUCGAGAGCCUGGACGAGUGUACCUGAAGAAAAAGCAUCGGCUAACUCCGUGCCAGCAGCCGCGGUAAUACGGAGGAUGCGAGCGUUAUCCGGAUUUAUUGGGUUUAAAGGGUGCGCAGGCGGACUGUUAAGUCAGCGGUAAAAGCCCGGGGCUCAACCCCGGCGAGCCGUUGAAACGGGCUGUCUCGAGGUGGCGAGAGGUAUGCGGAAUGCGCGGUGUAGCGGUGAAAUGCUUAGAGAUUGCGCAGAACUCCGAUUGCGAAGGCAGCAUGCCGGCGGCGCUCUGACGCUGAGGCACGAAAGCGUGGGUAUCGAACAGGAUUAGAUACCCGGGUAGUC